AGCGAACGCUGGCGGCGUGCUUAACACAUGCAAGUCGAGCGAGAAAGGGGGCUUCGGCCCCUGAGUACAGCGGCGAACGGGUGCGUAAUACAUGAGUAAUCUACCCUUGAGGCGGGAAUAACCCAGCGAAAGUUGGGCUAAUACCGGAUAAGACCACAAGAGGAGACCCUAGAGGUUAAAGGCAGCUUUCUUUUGGGAGCGGCCCUUCGAGGAGGAGCUCAUGUCCUAUCAGCUAGNGGUAGGGUAACGGCCUACCAAGGCGAAGACGGGUAGCUGGUCUUAGAGGAUGAUCAGCCACACGGGGGACUGAGACACGGCCCCGACUCCUACGGGAGGCAGCAGUGGGGAAUAUUGGGCAAUGGGCGAAAGCCUGACCCAGCGACGCCGCGUGGGUGAU
rnacentral:rRNA from 1 species